rnacentral:lncRNA from 1 species
AGAAUCUGAAGAACAAGGUUUCUUCUCUAGAAAUGCUGUGGGAAAUAGAAAAGCUACUAAAUAACCAAUUGCGAAAGGCGUUAAUAGAAACUAUGGAAGAACAAGAUAAGCUUAAAAUCCAAAUUGAUCAAAUGGGAGCCGGAAUCAACAAAUCGUGUGCAACUUCGAGCAUGAUAGGGAAAAGAAAGAGGAAAGACCGUGACUUAGG